GUUAUACAUUUCUAUGAGCAGAACGAUCAGGAUUCCAUUAACUCAUGUUGAAAUAUAUUGUGAUAAUAGUCGAGAAACCCUCCACAGCACUCAAACCGAUUCCCUUCCGCCAGCAUCAAAGGCUUUAAAUUAGUUAGAGAGUGUGGAUUUGAUAAUUGCCAGUAGCGAACCUCCUGUGGCAUUUGCCAGUUUUAUGAUAGACAACAUCAGG
rnacentral:lncRNA from 1 species